UACGUAGGGUGCGAGCGUUAAUCGGAAUUACUGGGCGUAAAGCGUGCGCAGGCGGUUUGUUAAGUCUGAUGUGAAAGCCCCGGGCUCAACCUGGGAACUGCAUUGGAAACUGGCAAGCUCGAGUAUGGCAGAGGGGGGUGGAAUUCCGCGUGUAGCAGUGAAAUGCGUAGAGAUCAGGAAGAACAUCGGUGGCGAAGGCGCUCUGCUGGACCUAACUGACACUCAGGGACGAAAGCUAGGGGAGCGAAUGGGA
rnacentral:rRNA from 1 species